AAACGUAGGACGCGAGCGUUAUCCGGAUUUACUGGGCGUAAAGCGCGGGCAGGCGGUGGUCCAAGUCGGACGUGAAAGCUCCCGGCUCAACUGGGAGAGGUCGUUCGAAACUGGGCCGCUAGAGGGCAGUAGAGGGGCGUGGAAUUCCGGGUGGAGUGGUGAAAUGCGUAGAGAUCCGGAGGAACACCAGAGGCGAAGGCGGCGCCCUGGGCUGCACCUGACGUUGAGCCGCGAAAGCUAGGGGAGCGAACGGGAUUAGAAACCCCGGUAGUCCUAGCCGUAAACGAUGUCCACUAGAUGUCUGGGCGGAGCGCCUGGGCGUCGCAGCUAACGCGUUAAGUGGACCGCCUGGGGAGUACGGCCGCAAGGCUAAA
rnacentral:rRNA from 1 species